GACGAACGCUGGCGGCGUGCUUAACACAUGCAAGUCGAACGGAAAGGCCUGCUUUCCCUUGUGGAUUGCAGGUACUCGAGUGGCGAACGGGUGAGUAACACGUGAGUGAUCUGCCCCCAACUUGGGUAUAAGCCUGGGAAACUGGGUCUAAUUCCCGAUAGGACUGCAGGGUGGUGCCUGUGGUGGAAAACGAUUUUCUAGUGGUUGGGGAUGAGCUCGCGGCCUAUCAGCUUGUUGGUGGGGUAAUGGCCUACCAAGGCGGCGACGGGUAGCCGGCCUGGGAGGGUGGACGGCCACAUUGGGACUGAGAUACGGCCCAGACGCCUACGGGAGGCAGCAGUGGGGAAGAAUGCACAAUGGGCGGAAGCCUGAUGCAGCGACGCCGCGUGGGGGAUGACGGCCUUCGGGUUGUAAACUCCUUUCGACCGCGAGGAAGGCACCUGGUUGGAAGGGUGGUGACGGUAGUGGUAGAAGAAGCACCGGCUAACUACGUG
rnacentral:rRNA from 1 species